rnacentral:rRNA from 1 species
GACGAACGCUGACGGCGUGCUUAACACAUGCAAGUCGAACGGUAAGGCCCUUCGGGGUACACGAGUGGCGAACGGGUGAGUAACACGUGGGUGAUCUGCCCUGCACUUCGGGAUAAGCCUGGGAAACUGGGUCUAAUAUCGGAUGGGACCACUGCCUGCAUGGGUGGUGGUGGAAAGCUUUUGCGGUGUGGGAUGGGCCCGCGGCCUAUCAGCUUUGUGGUGGGGUGAUGGCCUACCAAGGCGAAGACGGGUAGCCGGCCUGAGAGGGUGAGCGGCCAGACUGGGACUGAGAUACGGACCAGACUCCUACGGGGGGCAGCAGUGGGGAAUAUUGCGCAAUGGGCGCAAGCCUGAUGCAGCGAAGCCGCGUGAGGGAUGACGGCCUUCGGGUUGUAAACCUCUUUCAGCACCGACGAAGCGCAAGUGACGGUAGGUGCAGAAGAAGGACCGGCCAACUACGUGCCAGCCGCCGCGGUAAGAC